rnacentral:rRNA from 1 species
CGCACGGGUGAGUAACACGUGACUAACCUACCCUCGAGUGGGGAAUAACCUAGAGAAAUCUGGGCUAAUACCGCAUAACACUUACGAGUCAAAGCAGCAAUGCGCUUGAGGAGGGGGUCGCGGCAGAUUAGUUAGUUGGCAGGGUAAUGGCCUACCAAGACAGUGAUCUGUAUCCGGCCUGAGAGGGCGCGCGGACACACUGGAACUGAAACACGGUCCAG